GGUAACCCGCAUAUGGGGUACAAAAAUAAAUUGGAAAGCCCUAAUGGUUUCAUCCAUUUCUCCGCCGAACCCUAAUCGCGUCUCAUCUCUCGAAGGUCUCUUGAUCUCUCCGGUUCGUCGAUUCUCUCUGAAUCUCAGUUCUCAGUCACUCCAUGUGUCUCUAAGCUCGAACUCUGUCUUUCUCUCUCGCUCAAGAACAACUGAACAAGGUAUGGAUUCCGACAACCAAAAUGGAGCUGACGGGUUGAAGUUGGGAAAACCACAACAUAUCUGAGUGUUGGCAGUGAGGCUUCGAGUUUGCCACAAGAAGCUUCAAAGGAUUCAAAUACAGAAGCUGCGUUCUCCCACGACAUGAUUAGGCACUGAUAUGUGCUUGUAGUUGACUCCGCGGCUAUGAGCCAUAUGACAAUGAAACUGAGGUGGCCGAUGCUACUGAUCAAGAUUAGAGGUUGCCAACGUUUGAGACCUUUGCAUGAACGUCUGAAGCACUUGAGGUCGUGAGAAGAACAAGUGGGAAGAACAAAGAUGAAGAAGACCUGUAUAUAAUUUCUUUAUAUAUUUUUCAGUUUGUCUGUUGUUUGUGUGUCAAAAAACUUGUAUUUGUCGCUAAAAAACUUGAUGCAUUUGUCUGUUAAUUUUUGUGAAUUUUUUUUUUAUUA